rnacentral:rRNA from 1 species
GUAGUUAGCCGGUGCUUAUUCUUACGGUACCGUCAUUAGCAAAGGAUAUUAGCCUUCACCGUUUCUUCCCUGACAAAAGAGCUUUACAACCCGAAGGCCUUCUUCACUCACGCGGCAUUGCUGGAUCAGGCUUUCGCCCAUUGUCCAAAGUUCCCCACUGCUGCC